UUCCGGUUGAUCCUGCCGGACCCGACUGCUAUCAGAGUAGGACUAAGCCAUGCGAGUCGACGUAGCAAUGCGUGGCGAACGGCUCAGUAACACGUAGUCAACAUGCCCAAGGGACGUGGAUAACCUCGGGAAACUGAGAAUAAACCACGAUAGGUCAUGAUUUCUGGAAUGGAUCAUGGCUCAAAUCUACAUGGCCCCUGGAUUGGACUGCGGCCGAUCAGGCAGUUGGUGAGGUAAAGGCCCACCAAACCUAUAACCGGUACGGGCUCUGAGAGGAGAAGCCCGGAGAUGGGCACUGAGACAAGGGCCCAGGCCCUAUGGGGCGCAGCAGGCGCGAAACCUCUGCAAUAGGCGAAAGCCUGACAGGGUUACUCUGAGUGAUUUCCGCUAAGGGGAUCUUUUGGCACCUCUAAAAAUGGUGCAGAAUAAGGGGUGGGCAAGUCUGGUGUCAGCCGCCGCGGUAAUACCAGCACCCCGAGUGGUCGGGACGAUUAUUGGGCCUAAAGCAUCCGUAGCCGGUUCUGCAAGUCCCCCGUUAAAUCCAGCUGCUCAACAGAUGGGCCGCGGAGGAUACUACAGAGCUAGGAGGCAGGAGAGGCAAGCGGUACUCAAUGGGUAGGGGUAAAAUCCGUUGAUCCAUUGAAGACCACCAGUGGCGACGCGGCUUGCCAGACGCGCUCGACGGUGAGGGAUGAAAGCUGGGGAGCAAACCGGAUUAGAUACCCGGGUAGUCCCAG
rnacentral:rRNA from 1 species